rnacentral:rRNA from 1 species
GAUGAACGCUAGCUACAGGCUUAACACAUGCAAGUCGAGGGGCAGCAUGGUCUUAGCUUGCUAAGGCCGAUGGCGACCGGCGCACGGGUGAGUAACACGUAUCCAACCUGCCGUCUACUCUUGGACAGCCUUCUGAAAGGAAGAUUAAUACAAGAUGGCAUCAUGAGUUCACAUGUUCACAUGAUUAAAGGUAUUCCGGUAGACGAUGGGGAUGCGUUCCAUUAGAUAGUAGGCGGGGUAACGGCCCACCUAGUCUUCGAUGGAUAGGGGUUCUGAGAGGAAGGUCCCCCACAUUGGAACUGAGACACGGUCCAAACUCCUACGGGAGGCAGCAGUGAGGAAUAGUGGUCAAUGGGCGAGAGCCUGAACCAGCCAAGUAGCGUGAAGGAUGACUGCCCUAUGGGUUGUAAACUUCUUUUAUAAAGGAAUAAAGUCGGGUAUGGAUACCCGUUUGCAUGUACUUUAUGAAUAAGGAUCGGCUAACUCCGUG